UUACCUUUCAUUCAGCUGGUUAGCUGGUCGACACCGAACCUUAAUGCUGCAGCAAUCACCGUGCUGGUUGAUCGGUGGAGGAUGGAGACGCACAGUUUCCAUCUUCACACUGAGGAGAUGACCGUGAUGCUCCAGGAUGUUGCCUUAAUCACCGGUCUUCCCAUCGAGGGGAAGCCUCUCUGUAUGAGCACCAAUUCGGAUGGGUGCCGCCAGCAGAUGGAGGCCCUUAUUGGUAGCUCUCCUGCAGAGCCUCAAGAACCAGAAGAAGGAAACAAGAAGAAGGAAAGAGUUGCAGCCGGUGCUCCUUUCACCUAG
rnacentral:rRNA from 1 species